rnacentral:rRNA from 1 species
GUAGUCUCGCACAGAUGCAUAUCAAUAAGCGGAGGAAAAGAAACUAACAAGGAUUCCCUUAGUAACGGCGAGUGAAGCGGGAAGAGCUCAAAUUUGAAAUCUUCAAGGGUUUACCUUUACGAAUUGUAGUUUAAAGAAGUGUUUUCUGUUGAGGUUUUGGUAAAAGUUCUUUGGAAUAGGACAUCAUAGAGGGUGAGAAUCCCGUAUUUGACCAUUACUUUCAACUGUGUGAUACACUUUCAAAGAGUCGGAUUGUUUGGGAAUGCAGUCCAAAAUGGGUGGUAAAUUUCAUCUAAAGCUGAAGUAUUGGCGAGAGAGCCGAUAGCGAACAAGUACCGUGAGGGAAAGAUGAAAAGAACUUUGAAAAGAGAGUUAAACAGUACGUGAAAUUGUCAAAAGGGAAGCGUCUGACACCAGUGUUGUUUUCUCGAAAAUCAAUUAAAAAGAGUUAGAUUUUGUUGUGUAUUGACCUUAACAGCUUGCAUUUCAAUUUUCUUGCUUUUUUUAAUGCACUUUUCGUUUAACGAGUCAACAUCAGUUUCUUUUGUUGUAAAAAGGUCAUUGGAAGGUGGCUUUCUUUUCGGAGAAAGUGUUUAUAGCCUUUGACUCCUGCAAUCGGAGAGACUGAGGUCUGCAGCGUAGAUCCUUCGGGGUUAGAUACAUUUGUGCUAAGUUAUAGCUUUUUAUAGACAACUUGUUGACUAUGAUUAGUCUUGUAGCUUACUCGCUUAUGCUAUUUUACCUACGCUUAGGAUGUUGAGCGCAUGUCUCUCUCU